UGACUGACCAGUAUUCUGAAUGUAGGCUUUUGAAGCAUGCAUAACACAUAAAACUAAAUACAAAAAUGUGCUGUUAGAGACUAUGCAGUUCUGUAGGCUGAGGAGACAAGAAAGGGUAGAAAGGAGAACCAGGUAGAAAGGGAGCCAAAAGAUAUGUUUCCCUCAAACUUUUAAUAAUGCUACGGGGGGGGGGGGACGCCACAAUAGUAGAGAGAGUUAAAAUGAAGUAGUUCAAUAAUGAGAGGCUGAAAGAUAGCAAAGGGAGCUGGACAGAUGGCUCCGUGGUUAAGAACACUGGACAGAUGGCUCCGUGGUUAAGAACACUGGACAGAUGGCUCCGUGGUGAAGAACGCUGGACAGGUGGCUCCGUGGUGAAGAACGCUGGACAGGUGGCUCCGUGGUGAAGAACGCUGGACAGGUGGCUCCGUGGUGAAGAACGCUGGACAGGUGGCUCCGUGGUGAAGAACGCUGGUCAGGUGGCUCCGUGGUGAAGAACACUGGCUUCUCUUGUCAAGGACUGGGUUCCUUUCUCAGCACCCACAUGGUGGCUCAUGAUUGUCAUUAACUCUGGUCCCAGGAGAUCUGAUGCCCUCUUCAGGCUCCUGCAGCUUAUUGCCAUAAAAGUCUACAACUUUACUAUUCAUUGGCAUAAGACAACCAACUCUGGAGCCAUGGUCCCAGGUUCAUCUUUGACAACAGAAUAACCAGUUGGCAAAAGACACAAGGCAAUCACCAGCCCAUACAUCCCUUCCUGGCAAGAGUCUCCCAAAUGAGGUUUCUUCAGAAUGCUUGGGGCCAAAAUGAAACUCACAGAGCAGCCCCCACAUGCAAUACCUUUCACUCACUCAACACUUACCUAUAGAUCUCACAGCUGGUAGUAAAGGAUGCCAGGAGGAAGGUCUGACGUGGAGCAGGAAGCCGCUUCUGGAGCUACCCAGUGGGGCUGCUGUUGCACAGUUACUGGAAAGGGAACACAGUGUCCUGAAGUUGCACAAGAACUGUAAACAGAGCAAAUGGAAUCCAUCAGACACGGUUCUGACUAAUCCCUUGCUGGACUGUGAUCUCAGAAGGAUCCUUUUGUGUACUGCUUGACCAAGUGACACAGCCCUCAGAGUACUGAAAACUGUGACAGCAGUGCCUGUUCUGUGAGUGUGUGCAUUUUAGAUAGUUUGUUUCUUCCUUAACAAAUGGUGUCAUUACUUAUAACUAGUCCCAAAUACUCUCUGGACUAUUUUUUUAAGAAUUCCAAAGAAGCUGGGAGUGAGCUUUGAUAGGGAAGAUUCCACAACUGGUGUUUGUUGAUAGAAGGAAUUUUUAAAAUUUGUCAGCACUGCCUUUGCCCUCAGUCAUGGAUCUAAUGCUGUCCGUUUGAGAUUCACGGCCAUUUAUGGCAACAGUAGUAAGAUGGG
rnacentral:lncRNA from 1 species